rnacentral:lncRNA from 1 species
AUGGUUUGCAGAAGCUCUGAACCUCAGUUAUGUUUAUCCCACAGGCUGUCACCAGUGUGGCCACACUGUGAAGAAGUGCAAUCCCUAAGAUGCAUGGCUCAAACUCUGCCUCUCAGCAGCCAAGGAGUAUGGGGAAUAAAUCCUGAGUGCACACAAGGGACACUUAAGAUCAGGAAUCUCAGUCUGCAGGAUGAACUGUUAAGAUGGAUACCCUGGCUGAAGUCUGCCAAGGCUCAGAGGAGCACAGCAGCAUGCCAGAUCCUCCCUGGAUUUGAGCAUAUCAGCCUGCUAAGUGUCCAGCAAGGAUACAAAUCAGAGGGACUGCCAUCUGCACUUAUCAAGACAGUUGUGGACUUUCUUUGA